rnacentral:rRNA from 1 species
AUUGAACGCUGGCGGCAUGCCUUACACAUGCAAGUCGAACGGCAGCACGGGGGCAACCCUGGUGGCGAGUGGCGAACGGGUGAGUAAUACAUCGGAACGUGCCCAGUAGUGGGGGAUAGCCCGGCGAAAGCCGGAUUAAUACCGCAUACGACCUACGGGUGAAAGCGGGGGAUCGCAAGACCUCGCGCUAUUGGAGCGGCCGAUGUCAGAUUAGGUUGUUGGUGGGGUAAAGGCCUACCAAGCCUACGAUCUGUAGCUGGUCUGAGAGGACGACCAGCCACACUGGGACUGAGACACGGCCCAGACUCCUACGGGAGGCAGCAGUGGGGAAUUUUGGACAAUGGGGGCAACCCUGAAUCCAGCCAUGCCGCGUGCGGGAAGAAGGCC